GACGAACGCUGGCGGCGCGCUUAACACAUGCAAGUCGAGCGAGAACCAGUCCUUCGGGACUGGGGACAGCGGCGAACGGGUGAGUAACACGUGAGUAAUCCACCCCCGACACUGGGAUAGCCCGGGGAAACCCGGAUUAAUACCGGAUAGCCACUUCGGUUUUCGGACCGGAAUGAAAAGGUAGCUUCGGCCUCCGGUUGGGGACGAGCUCGCGGCGGAUUAGCUUGUUGGCGGGGUAAAGGCCCACCAAGGCGACGAUCCGUAGCUGGUCUGAGAGGACGAUCAGCCACACUGGGACUGAGACACGGCCCAGACUCCUACGGGAGGCAGCAGUGGGGAAUCUUGUGCAAUGGGCGAAAGCCUGACACAGCGACGCCGCGUGAGGGAAGAAGGCCUUCGGGUUGUAAACCUCUUUCAGGAGGGACGAAGCUACUCGGGUGAAUAGCCCAGAGGGUGACGGUACCUCCAGAAGAAGCCCCGGCUAACUACGUGCCAGCAGCCGCGGUAAUACGUAGGGGGCAAGCGUUGUCCGGAUUUAUUGGGCGUAAAGAGCGUGUAGGCGGCCAGAUAGGUCAGCUGUGAAAACUCGAGGCUCAACCUCGAGACGUCGGUUGAAACCAUCUGGCUAGAGUCCGGAAGAGGAGAGUGGAAUUCCCGGUGUAGCGGUGAAAUGCGCAGAUAUCGGGAAGGACACCCGUGGCGAAGGCGGCUCUCUGGGACGGUACUGACGCUGAGACGCGAAAGCGUGGGGAGCGAACAGGAUUAGAUACCCUGGUAGUCCACGCCGUAAACGAUGGGUGCUAGGUGUGGGGGGUGUCGACUCCCCCCGUGCCGAAGCUAACGCAUUAAGCACCCCGCCUGGGGAGUACGGCCGCAAGGCUAA
rnacentral:rRNA from 1 species